rnacentral:rRNA from 1 species
GAUGAACGCUAGCUACAGGCUUAACACAUGCAAGUCGAGGGGCAGCAUGACGAUAGCUUGCUAUUGUCGAUGGCGACCGGCGCACGGGUGAGUAACGCGUAUCCAACCUUCCCAUAGCUAGGGAAUAACCUUGCGAAAGUAAGACUAAUGCCCUAUGUUGUUCUUUGCGGACAUCUAAAGAGAACGAAAGAUUUAUCGGCUAUGGAUGGGGAUGCGUCUGAUUAGGUUGUUGGCGGGGUAACGGCCCACCAAGCCUACGAUCAGUAGGGGUUCUGAGAGGAAGGUCCCCCACAUUGGAACUGAGACACGGUCCAAACUCCUACGGGAGGCAGCAGUGAGGAAUAUUGGUCAAUGGACGGAAGUCUGAACCAGCCAAGUAGCGUGCAGGAUGACGGCCCUAUGGGUUGUAAAACUGCUUUUAUGUGGGAAUAAAGUGAGGGACGUGUCCCUUUUUGUAGGUACCACAUGAAUAAGGACCGGCUAAUUCCGUG